CGGAGGAUCCAAGCGUUAUCCGGAAUCAUUGGGUUUAAAGGGUCCGUAGGCGGUUUGAUAAGUCAGUGGUGAAAGCCCAUCGCUCAACGAUGGAACGGCCAUUGAUACUGUCAGACUUGAAUUACUGGGAAGUAACUAGAAUACGUAGUGUAGCGGUGAAAUGCUUAGAUAUUACAUGGAAUACCAAUUGCGAAGGCAGGUUACUACCAGUGGAUUGACGCUGAUGGACGAAAGCGUGGGGAGCGAACAGGAUUAGAUACCCUGGUAGUCCACGCCGUAAACGAUGGAUACUAGCUGUUGGGCGCAAGUUCAGUGGCUAAGCGAAAGUGAUAAGUAUCCCACUGGGGAUACGUUCGCAAGAAUG
rnacentral:rRNA from 1 species